UGUACAAACUGAUCGUUAACAUUGAUGGUUAGAAAAAACAAAACAAUGAACCAGACAAAGAGCUUUCGCUGGGAUUAACAGUACAUGAUCAGAAUUUUCACUAUAAAUUUCAUCUCAUUUGAUGAUAUAUGCAUUCGACCUAAGUCAACGUAACACAAGUCUAAAAAUGCAGAACAUAGAAAUAAUUUGCGAUUCACACGAAUUAUUCAUUACAGAUAAUAAGACAGGGUUCUACACAGAACCCUGUGAUCAUGUCAUUUGCAUGGUGUGCUUUAAGUUCCUUCACGAAACAGGAAUGUGCCAUGUUUCGGAAUGCAAGAACACUGGCAUCACCCGCGUAAAGGGGUUCAAUCAACCCCCACCAGAGGCAGUUUAAAAGUUUCAGAACUUCAAGCUCAAGAAUUAUGGGAAAAAAUCCAUUGAAUUAAAUUUAUUCAAAGAUUUCAAAAGUUCUUCAAAACAUUCAACAGGUAAAAAUAAUCCACUGACCUAGGGCAUUCACCAUUUUUCAUACAUCGGUUCACUGGUCAAGCACAAAGCAUUCAGUCGAGGUUGCAAGGUUCAAAUUUGAAUAAUCCUUUGAAAGUCCCUGGGCGCCCCGCUUGAGGGCUUUGUGUUUGACCAGUGAAUCAAUGUAUGGAAAAUGGUGAAUAGUUAACCAGGGAUGAACUAGUAGGGCAAGCCCAGGCAAAACCAAAAAUUUGAAUCAUAAAAAAAAUACAUAUGGCUCUUGUGUUUACUGUAUUCCACAGACUUUGUUUGUACAGUAUAUGAUGAACAAUAAAGCAUGCUUGAAGACUACUCUCUCAA